CAUUACAUCAUUACAUCAUUACAGAGAUGCCAAGGUGGGAGAAACUUGAAGCUGCUAGUCUCAUAGCUAUAGUCAACCUCAGAGAGGAGCCUCAGAGAGGAGUCAACCUCAGGAGGAGUCAUUGACACAUGCUCUCUUCAGCAGAGUGUGCAGGAGAUGGAAGUCAGAGGCCAUCGGCUUGCCCACAUUCCUCACCCAGGACUGAGCUGCGCAUGACUGCUGCUUCCCUGCCUUUGAGUAAUGAGGGGACACAGCAAGACGGCCACAUCAGGGCUGCUGUAUUAGUAAGGCUACUUUCCUGUCCAUUUAUCAUCAAUUAAAGGUGUGCUAGUUUGUAAAGCAACCCCA